AUGCUAUAUUCUCCAGCAGCAGUCAGGGAUUUAUUUUCCCAGACUCAGACAUGUCACAAUAGCAUUUCAUGUGCAUACAUCAUGACAUGCGCAUACAUAUUGCAUAACAUCAUAAUCUCAUUUAUUUUGAGAACAUCUUCACACAAUGCAUUUAAUGCAUCACAUAUAAUUAAUCUUGUACCUUUUCAGAAAAUAGGGUUAUCAUCAACAAUUUCCAGCAGGUCCAAGAUUAGUUCCUGA